CCUACGGGAGGCAGCAGUGAGGAAUAUUGGUCAAUGGGCGCGAGCCUGAACCAGCCAAGUAGCGUGAAGGAUGACUGCCCUACGGGUUGUAAACUUCUUUUAUAAGGGAAUAAAGUGAGGCACGUGUGCCUUUUUGUAUGUACUUUAUGAAUAAGGAUCGGCUAACUCCGUGCCAGCAGCCGCGGUAAUACGGAGGAUCCGAGCGUUAUCCGGAUUUAUUGGGUUUAAAGGUAGAGUAGAUGGGUUUGUAAGUCAGUUGUGAAAGUUUGAGGCUCAACCGUAAAAUUGCAAUUGAGACUGGCAGGCUUGAGUGCAGUUGAGGUAGGCGGAAUGCGUGGUGUAGCGGUGAAAUGCAUAGAUAUCACGAAGAACGCCGAUUGCGAAGGCAGCUUACUAAACUGUCACUGACAGUGAGGCACGAAAGUGUGGGGAUCAAACAGGAGUAGAUACCCUUGUAGUC
rnacentral:rRNA from 1 species